rnacentral:rRNA from 1 species
UAGGGAAUCUUCCGCAAUGGACGCAAGUCUGACGGAGCAACGCCGCGUGAGUGAAGAAGGAUUUCGGUUCGUAAAACUCUGUUGUUAGAGAAGAACAGCGCAUAGAGUAACUGUUAUGCGUGUGACGGUAUCUAACCAGAAAGCCACGGCUAACUACGUGCCAGCAGCCGCGGUAAUACGUAGGUGGCAAGCGUUGUCCGGAUUUAUUGGGCGUAAAGCGAGCGCAGGCGGUCAAUUAAGUCUGAUGUGAAAGCCCCCGGCUCAACCGGGGAGGGUCAUUGGAAACUGGUUGACUUGAGGGCAGAAGAGGAGAGUGGAAUUCCAUGUGUAGCGGUGAAAUGCGUAGAUAUAUGGAGGAACACCAGUGGCGAAGGCGACUCUCUGGUCUGUAACUGACGCUGAGGUUCGGAAGCGUGGGUAGCAAACAGG